UACGUAGGGGGCAAGCGUUGUCCGGAAUCAUUGGGCGUAAAGAGCGCGUAGGCGGCCCUGUAAGUCCGCUGUGAAAGUCAAGGGCUCAACCCUUGAAUGCCGGUGGAUACUGCAGGGCUAGAGUCCGGAAGAGGCGAGUGGAAUUCCUGGUGUAGCGGUGAAAUGCGCAGAUAUCAGGAGGAACACCGAUGGCGAAGGCAGCUCGCUGGGACGGUACUGACGCUGAGGCACGAAAGCGUGGGGAGCAAACAGG
rnacentral:rRNA from 1 species